GAUGAACGCUGGCGGCGUGCCUAAUACAUGUAAGUCGAACGGAGAGCAUUGGCUUCGGUUGGUGCUCUUAGUGGCGAACGGGUGAGUAACGCGUUGGUGACCUGCCCCGAAGAGGGGGAUAACAGCUCGAAAGGGCUGCUAAUACCCCAUAAUGUCCGAGAGGUUAGAGGCUUUAGGACGAAAGGAGCGAUCCACUUUGGGAGGGGCCUGCGUCCCAUCAGCUAGUUGGUAGGGUAAAGGCCUACCAAGGCGACGACGGGUAGGGGACCUGAGAGGGUGAUCCCCCACACUGGCACUGAAACACGGGCCAGACACCUACGGGAGGCAG
rnacentral:rRNA from 1 species